GAAUAUUAAAGAACAGAGGCACAUAUGAAUUUAUAUCUGCUGAAGAUGUUGGAUUUAUUCGUGCUAGUGAACACGAUAUUAAAUUGGGAAAACUCAGUGGACGUCAUGCAUUGAAAAUUAAAAUGCUUGAGCUUGGAUAUAACUUUGAGGAAAAACAACUUGGGGACCUCUUUUGGCGAUUCAAGUCAAUGGCUG